GAGCCAAGAGGAAGAAGAAGCGAAUGCGCAGGCUGAAGCGCAAAAGAAGAAAGAUGAGGCAGAGGUCCAAGUAAACCGCUAGCUUGUUGCACCGUGGAGGCCACAGGAGCAGAAACAUGGAAUGCCAGACGCUGGGGAUGCUGGUACAAGUUGUGGGACUGCAUGCUACUGUCUAGAGCUUGUGUCAAUGGAUCUAGAACUUCAUCGCCCUCUGAUCGCCGAUCACCUCUGAGACCCACCUUGCUCAUAAACAAAAUGCCCAUGUUGGUCCUCUGCCCUGGACCUGUGACAUUCUGGACUAUUUCUGUGUUUAUUUGUGGCCGAGUGUAACAACCAUAUAAUAAAUCACCUUUUCCACUGUUUUAGCUGAAAUCGGAAGAGC
rnacentral:lncRNA from 1 species